GCCGUUCUGAAAAGCACAGGCACUAGCUUAGUCAUCGCAUCCUCCCCCCGUUCCUACACACACCCCAUCCUCCGGGAUUCACACUGGGGCAGGAGAAUUGCAGCACCAGCACCGACUCCUCGCACGAGUCGAUAGGCGCGACACGUUAGACAAAAAUAGGUGUUGGUGUCUGGGUCUAAGGCGGGGGUGGAUUAAAGUGAAUGCAGGACUGGGAGUCACUGAUACCCCGACUGGGGACCCCUAUGACACGGCGAUUCCUGCUCAACCGCGGGCCGCAGCGCCCGGACCCCCCUUCUUACCUUCCGCCACGUCCUCGUCGAUAGCCCCCUUCACCUGGGAGAAGCACCACUGGAAGUCGUUACCACCUCCUCCUCCGCCACCUCCUGCCACCCCUGCGGAGACAGAGCGCGUUUGGCUGGUCGGUGCAGCUAAUGUUGGAUAAACUGUAAUGAAGUUCAAAAUCAGAGGCGAUAUAGACCCCAACUUGGUAUGCAGGUCCUGUUGGGAUCCUGGGCGAGCAGAAGCCUGGUAUGCAGAUCCUGCCUUCAAACAAAGACCCAGAGGCUUCUGAGUGGAAUUUUCUAGCACCCAUGUUCACAAAAAAGCCAUCAGCUUUGACACUUUUAUAGAGCAAUCUUUACCACACUAAAGCUGGCAUUUACUACACAUCUUAAAAAGGCUGAUAUGCUUGUUGCGGCAAUACUUCCCAAAGAGGCUAUCACUUGGAAUGUAAACAUCCUGCUUAAUUUCCAAUGCACAUGAAACGCUCACUCAUUCAAGAGCUAAAGUGGCUUUACUUUUAGCACUAACUCUUUCAUCCAGAUGUUCAGAUUCUCAUAUAUGCACUUUGGCUGAUUUGUACCUUCCCAAAGGCUUUCAUAGGAAAAGAUAAAAACUAAAAACCAGUAGAGCUAAACAUCUUAUUUGACAAGGAUGACCUAGAUUUAUGUCUUGCUCUAUACUUAGACUUGGAUCUGGGUAAGAUAGCUCCCUGAAAUUGAACAUUACAUGCUGGUUUAUCAUUAUCACUCCUUCCUCCUCACCCACCCACCCACUUUUAUUGAUCAGGUCAUAGUAUUGUUGUGGCAGGCAUUGCUAAAUAUCUGUGUGUUUUAAAACUUUAUUGGUAAGAAGUGUAGAAGUCAACAGCUAAUGAAUGAGAUGCCCAGGAGCCUUUUAAUCUUUAUUUAUUUUUAUUUUUUUUGCCAGUUCAGCCAUCACUUCAACCUAAAGACACAGAUAUUAGUAGUUCUUUUUGAGUCCCAAUUUCACUUAUGAACAGAAAUUUUCUUUGGAGCUGCAUACUCAGGCCUCAGUAAACACCGUACUUAUUUUCAGCCACAGGAAGAAUAAAACAUUAUUUUUUGUGUGAAAAUUUGAAGUUGUGUUUGAAAAUUUUCAAUCCCUCAC